UACGGAGAAGACCAAAAGCUGCUAAGGCAGAUAUUUCCAGAGGUACAAACAGAGCGGAUGGUUGCAUGAUGGCCUCUUUCAGUUUUGUCAACUGAAUGUCUACUAGUGUGGCUCAGCAAGUUCCUGUCAUGAUCAGCCCUCUCCAAGAAAGCUGAAGAGCAAAAACACAAAGAACAUCAGUCCUGUUGGGGAUGAGGAAUGAACAUGGCUCUAUUGUGCCCAAACAGAAAAGAGUGAAAAGGUGCUCAUCCCCAUUGAUGUGUCUGUAUUCAAGCAAUGCAUUAGUACAGCAUAUGAUGUUGAUCUCUAUUCAAGUCAGCAAUUAUCAUUUUUCACAUAUACAUCUUUUUAUAAGUCCUAGAAUGAACAAAUCAUCAGUGCAUCAUUUCUGGAAUUUGGGCAGAAAAUGACUGAAUAUGAAAGACUGCAGUAGAAGGAAAGCUGGUACUGAGAACAUUUGUCUUCACUCCAGACUAAAGAGAAGCGGGUCUGAGGCCAGAGAUGGAGGAGUCAGUGGUCACCAAAUGAAGCGCUGCAGCCUGAAACUGUGAAGACUGGAUUCCCAAACAGCUGUGUGACUGCACAGAUGUUACGGCCAUAAAAGAAACUUCACAACUGAGAGCCCAUACCUCCAACAACCUUCAACAGGAAUCAAUGGACAUCUACGCAAGGUUUUUCUUUUGUUGAGGACCGUCAGAGACUCCAGCCACACGAGCCAUGGAUUGCUCUCAACAUCACCAUCAGACAGACAUUAUCACAGAACCAGCACCAGCAGACU